UCCCUCCUGGCUCAGAUGGUAAAAGCAUCUGCUUGCAAUGAGGGAGACCCAGGUUCGAUCCCUGGGUGGGGAA
rnacentral:tRNA from 1 species